UACGAAGGGUGCAAACGUUGCUCGGAAUUAUUGGGCGUAAAGGGCGCGUAGGCGGCUUUGCAAGUGACGGGUGAAAUCCCUCGGCUUAACCGAGGAACUGCCUGUCAAACUGCAUGGCUUGAGACCGGGAGAGGUGAGUGGAAUUCCCAGUGUAGCGGUGAAAUGCGUAGAUAUUGGGAGGAACACCAGUGGCGAAGGCGGCUCACUGGACCGGUACUGACGCUGAGGCGCGAAAGCGUGGGUAGCAAACAGG
rnacentral:rRNA from 1 species